rnacentral:lncRNA from 1 species
GAGAGGUUGGAAAGGCUACUAUGCUUCUGGAAGCACGGAGCCUUCCGUGCUUCCAGAUCGUUUUCGAUGUUGCGACUUUCGAAUCGUCGAUCGGCUCCGUCAAACUUGAUCUAGAGUAUUUGAAGUAUUUAGAAAAUAAAUUUUAUUAUUUUUCGAUAUCAUUUGCCUAGUGAUCGAAGGGCCUCAAAAUCAAUAAUUUUAAUGGUCGUAGUGAGCUGUUUGCAAGUUUAACGGUGUAGAAAUAUCCAAAUCACGUAAAAUUUUGAUAGAAAAUUUUUUAUACUAUAUAAAACAAGAUCAAUAUCUUUGAUCUAAAAUUUUAAUGUCAUAUUAUCACGUUUUGUAAGAUUUUUAUUUUCAGCCGUUUAUUUUCAGCCCCUUCGUUCAUUAGGCAAAUAAUAUCGAAAAAUUAUAAAAUUUAUUUUCUAGGUACUUCAAAUACUCUAGAUCAAGUUUAACGGAGCCGAUCGAAGAUCCGAAACUCGCAACAUGGAAAACGACCUGGAAGCACGGAAGGCUCCGUG